rnacentral:rRNA from 1 species
GGAAUAUUGGACAAUGGGCGAAAGCCUGAUCCAGCCAUGCCGCGUGUGUGAAGAAGGUCUUCGGAUUGUAAAGCACUUUAAGUUGGGAGGAAGGGCAGUAAAUUAAUAAUGUGCUGUUUUGACGUUACCGACAGAAGAAGCACAGGCUAACUCUGUGACCGCAGCCGCGGUAAUACAGAGGGUGCAAGCGUUAAGCGGAAUUACUGGGCGUAAAGCGCGCGUAGGUGGUUUGUUAAGUUGGAUGUGAAAUCCCCGGGCUCAACCUGGGAACUGCAUUCAAAACUGACAAGCUAGAGUAUGGUAGAGGGUGGUGGAAUUUCCUGUGUAGCGGUGAAAUGCGUAGAUAUAGGAAGGAACACCAGUGGCGAAGGCGACCACCUGGACUGAUACUGACACUGAGGUGCGAAAGCGUGGGGAGCAA